rnacentral:rRNA from 1 species
UGGGGAAUAUUGCACAAUGGGCGCAAGCCUGAUGCAGCCAUGCCGCGUGUGUGAAGAAGGCCUUCGGGUUGUAAAGCACUUUCAGCGAGGAGGAAGGUGGUGAACUUAAUACGUUCAUCAAUUGACGUUACUCGCAGAAGAAGCACCGGCUAACUCCGUGCCAGCAGCCGCGGUAAUACGGAGGGUGCAAGCGUUAAUCGGAAUUACUGGGCGUAAAGCGCACGCAGGCGGUUUGUUAAGUCAGACGUGAAAUCCCCGGGCUCAACCUGGGAACUGCAUUUGAAACUGGCAAGCUAGAGUCUCGUAGAGGGGGGUAGAAUUCCAGGUGUAGCGGUGAAAUGCGUAGAGAUCUGGAGGAAUACCGGUGGCGAAGGCGGCCCCCUGGACGAAGACUGACGCUCAGGUGCGAAAGCGUGGGGAGCAAACAGGAUUAGAGUACCCUGGUAGUCCACGCUGUAAACGAUGUCGAUUGGAGGUUGUGCCCUUGAGGCGUGGCUUCCGGAGCUAACGCGUUAAAUCGACCGCCUGGGGAGUACGGCCGCAAGGUU